UACGGGGGGGGCAAGCGUUGUUCGGAAUUACUGGGCGUAAAGGGUUCGUAGGCGGUCAAUUAAGUCAGACGUGAAAUCCCUCAGCUUAACUGGGGAACUGCGUCUGAGACUGGAUGGCUAGAGUGCAGGAGAGGAACGCGGAAUUCCAGGUGUAGCGGUGAAAUGCGUAGAUAUCUGGAGGAACACCGGUGGCGAAGGCGGCGUUCUGGACUGCAACUGACGCUGAGGAACGAAAGCCAGGGGAGCAAACGGG
rnacentral:rRNA from 1 species